GCUGGAAGUGAUUAUCACCAAUGGGGAAUCAAUCCAUUGGAACCAUCUGAGGGGUUUCUGUGAGUUCUCAAAAUGGGAUGAUGUCGGAAAGAAUUUGAAGAAAUUGCAAUUUCCUUACUACAAUAUUAAGAGAAAAGAGCAUUGUCAGUACACUUAGUAUUUCCACAUCAAGCGAUAAAAAACGGCAUAUAAAGGAGAACUAUAACAGUUAUAUCUAGAAAACGCGGCAAUAUUCAAUGAGCUAAAACCAACAUAGCAAAGAAGCUCAACCAGACUGCAAACCUAGAAAAUCUGAAAGGCCGUGAAUUGGAAAUGAGAGACUUGCUCCAAGGAUUGGAAGAACAUAGAAAAUUGCAAUGCUUAACUGAGCAGAACAUGCUUCUGUAAUUUGAUUCUGUUCGAACUAGUCAAAACACAUUUAUAACUUUCACAAUGCAAUGUUAGGAAGGUAAAGAACCCAUGCAUGCACACGAGCUAUAUGCUCGAUGCAUUGGAAACAUUUGGUGGACCGGUGAACCUGCUUGUUUGUCAUGAUUCUGAUCCAGCAGUUGAACACGCAUCAAUGUAUAUAUCUUAGGUGACAGGGUCGAGGUACAUUGGAGAACGAGCAAAAGGUACCAUAACUUCGUAUAAAACUUGCCUGUUUGUCCAGCAAAGUGUUGGAAGAUAUGCAGAAUCACGGAUUGCACAAUCAAGGAUCCGGAUUGAUUAUUGAUUUGAUUUGAAGAUUAGAAUUAUGUACAUAAUCAAUUAAGAUUAGAUCUAGCUAUAGAUUGAUUUGUAGAAUCAUUUAUUCCCUUUAUUUUUCAUACAGCUUGUAUUAUAUUUACAACAAGAAUUGUACAGAUUCAUCAUUGAAGUAAAUAGAAAGAAAACUGUUCCUUCUUCUUUCAUGGUAUCAGAGCAGCCGAUUCUCUGAACCUAGCUUCCGCUUCCGCUCAGAAUUUUCUCUCCUUGCUGUGACUUUCUGAUCCUGAAGUUCUGACCUGCAAAAAAGGGUUUCUUUUUCAGGCAUAUUGUCACGCUCAGAAAAUUUUACUCACCAUGGCGAAUUUGCAAGAUGAAGUAUCCACCACCAGGAACCAAUCUGCUGGUUAAGUUAUUCCAGCCGCUGGAAGCACUGCUCAGACAUCGAUUUCACCUGUUACAACUCAAACAACAACGCAAAUGUUGUUUCCAACUCAGCCCGUGCAAUGGCGGCCCACCCCGGCUCAGUUCACUAUGGGGCAGCCCAUGACGGGCCAGCCUUUCCAAUGGAUUCCAUAUCCAAUCUAUGUUGGGUCAAACCCAAACUCUUCAUUGCUUGGGUAUGUGGGCCACCAAAGCCACGUCCAAACCGACGGGGGUCCGCCAGCCACAGAAGGGGCAAACCCGACCGACGGAGUGGAGCGGAUACACAGGUCGAGUGAACCGGGUACGGGUAUGAAUCCCUACCCGGGAUUUUUGAAUGCGGAUUUUUCAUUCGGGUCGAAUGAAUCGGGCCAAGGGACGAAUCCCUACCCGAAUCAUACGCCCGGGUUUCUGCCCUUUCCAGCGGCGGCCUUCGCCAGACGGCCAGAACUCAGCGACCCCUUGUUCGUUUCCACAGCCGACGGACCAGAGCUGCGACUAAUCAGUCAACAACUGACCGGGCCAGAGACUUACCCCAAGUGGUCGCAAGAGUUCCGACGUGCCCUAGCGACAAAGGACAAGGAUGGAUUUCUCGAUGGAACCAUCCCAAUCCCUACCGACGAGCGUCUAGCACGGCUCUGGAGGAAGAGCAACCGCCUGGUCCGAACUUGGAUCGGCAAUUGUCUCUCCACAGAGGUCUCGGCUGGACUCCCACCGACUGAAGACGCCAAAGGGAUGUGGGAUAAUAUCAAGGAGAUGUACGGGAGGUUGGAUCAAGCAAAAAUAUUCACCCUCAUGCAAGAACUCAGUGAUUUAAAACAAGGGAAUUCGACGGUCACAGCUUGCUUCAACAAAUUAUCAUCGUUAUGGAACAGCCUCGAAGCAGCAGAAGAAAAACUCGAGGGUCCCGAAUCCACACUCCGACAGUACAAAUCCAUCAAAGACAGGGAGAAAGCGACGCGUUUUUUGCUCAUUUUAAACGACAACUUUCUUACCUUUCGCUCGUAGAUCUUGGCUAUGGAUCCCAUGCCAUCAAUCGGGCGAAUUUAUCAACUAGCGGUGCAAGAGGAAAGCCAGCAAUUCGCAUCACCAAAGAACGCGAAGAGUGGCGAGAGUAUCGCUCUUGCAGUCCACAAGGAGCGAAAAGAUGGAACCCAGAAAACCCUAGCAGAGAAGAGACGUGGCGUGCUAGGGUUUCGCGGAGAAGGGUUGCGGGCCUAUAAAUCAGAAGGGAUGAACGGCUCUGAUCGAGCGCGUAUAUCCGACGGCUCACAGGAGACCGAUCAUUUAAAAGGAUCGGACGGCCCAGAUGAACUCGCGACAAAAGGAACCGACGGACAGAUUUUUGCCACAUCAUCCAGGAAUUUCGGGCAAAAUUUUAAAGGGAAAGGUAGAUUAUUUUGUGACUAUUGCAAGCGUUCUAAUCACUCAAUUGACAGUUGUUGGAAGCUGCACGGGAAACCAGCGGAAAAAGGAAAAAGAAUUUCAGCGGCAUACCAAUUGAGUGGAUCUCCCGGCCCAAAUUCUGAUCAUACCAUUACCUAUGGACAGUACCAGCAACUGAUGCAAGCUUUGCAGAAAUUGGAUGUUUCUGACAAAGGAGGCAGUUUUUCAAGUAUCACGCAUGGCUUGAUUAAUUCUAUAUCAAGAAAAGCAUGGAUUAUUGACUCAGGGGCAACUGAUCAUAUUAUAUGUGACAAGAGUCUUUUCUCAAGAAUAGAUGAGGAAUUGAAUUUUCCCAUUUCCGUACAAUUGCCUAAUGGGAAUAUUAGUCAUAUUCGUGUGACAAGAACGGUUAAUCUCAGUCCUCAAAUUAUUCUUAAAAAUGUCCUUUAUGUCCCAGAAUUCCAGUUCAAUCUCAUUUCCGUAUCAAAAGUCUGCCAAGAGAAUUCAUGUCGAGUGAUAUUCAAUGCUGAUACCUGUUUAUUUCAGGCCCUUUCAACUGGCAGACUGAUGGGCUGGGGUAAUAUUUCAGAAGGACUAUUUUUUUGGUCAAGACUCCCAAGUAAUUUUGAUUUAUCCAGCUUUCCAUUAAAUAAAUCCUCCUUGUGUAAUUUGAGCUUGAAUGAUAAAAGUUCUCUUAUGCAUAUGAGAUUAGGCCACAGUGCCACCUUUCCUUAUCCUAAAUGUCCUAUUUGUCCACUAGCAAAACAGUCUCGUUCCCCUUUUCCAUCUAGUAAUUCUCGUGCUAGACAAAUCUUUUCACUGAUACAUGUUGAUAUAUGGGGACCUUAUCAUAAGGUUAAUUAUGAUGGAUCACGUUAUUUCCUCACAAUAGUAGACGAUCAUUCUCGUGCGACAUGGAUUUUCUUGAUGCAAUCAAAGGCUCAGACUUACUCUUAUUUAAAGACAUUUAUUGCCUUAUCCAAAAAUCAGUUUGGAAAAUCAAUCCAGAGAAUUCGAACUGAUAAUGGAGCGGAAUUUUUCAGUCACAAUUGUUCCAUGCUUUUCUCAUCUCAUGGCAUCCAGCAUGAGAGUUCAUGCACUUAUACACCACAACAAAAUGGAGUGGUUGAGCGCAAGCAUCGGCACCUUUUGGAAGUCGCACGUGCCUUGAAGUUUCAAGCUUCAGUACCAGAUGAUUAUUGGGGAAAUUGUGUCAUCACAGCAGCUUAUUUGAUCAAUCAUAUGCCCACCAAGAUACUGGACAAACACCAUUCGAGCUACUCUAUGGAAGAAAACCAGAUUUACAACAUCUCAAAAUCUUCGGAUGUCUUUGCUAUGCUACAACAUUGGGCUCUCGAGACAAGUUGAGCCCACGUGCUCGGAAAUGCAUUUUCAUGGGAUAUCCUAAUCUGCAGAAGGGGUAUCGAGUUCUUGAUAUAUCAACAAAGGAGUUUCUUAUAAGCCGUGAUGUAUCUUUCCAUGAAGAUAUAUUCCCCUUUUCCAACAUGGGGGAACCAAAUGAGAAUCUCGACAUCAAUUCUAAUUCUCAUCGUCUCUCACAUGACGACGCAAUAUCUCCAGACCAUGGUUACAUACCACUGGUUCAAUCAAGGAAUCCAUCUUACACUCCUACAAUAAUUCCAGGAGAGAUACCAUCUAUACUGGAGAAUCCAUCAUCAUCAGCAAACCUGACAGAAGAGGAAGUUGAAGAUGCAAGCAAUAUUGCGGAAGAAGUUGGCCAUGAUAUCUCGCCACCCACCUCCAAUGAAACAAUUCCCACUUCUGAUGGAGAUCAUCCAAGACGCUCUCGUCGGGCCACUCGACCUCCGACGUGGACCAAGGACUAUAUCUGUGCCACUCACAACUCUCCAGGUAUUCAAUAUCCUGUCUCCUCCUAUGUUUCCUUUCAUAGAUUAUCAGAGGAACAUAGAUGCUGCAUUAGUCGCCUAUCAGAAGAACAGGAACCAUCUAGUUAUGAUAAGGUAGCUGUUGAUCCUAGAUGGUAGCAAGCCAUGGCAGCAGAGUUAAAGGCAUUGAAUGACAACCACACAUGGGAUCUUGUCUCAUUGCCACCUAAUCGGAAACCAAUUGGGUGCAAAUGGGUAUACAAGAUUAAAUAUCGUGCAGAUGGAUCAAUUGAACGGUACAAGGCACGCUUGGUAGCAAAGGGAUUUACUCAGCGAGAAGGUUUUGACUACCACGAGACCUUUUCCCCAGUUGCCAAAGAUGUCACAGUUCGCUCUUUUUUUACCAUCGCCGCCAUCAAUGAUUGGAGUCUGCAUCAAAUGGACGUGCAUAAUGCCUUUCUCCAUGGUGAUUUAGAUGAAGAGAUAUAUAUGGAUGUUCCUCUGGGUUUACGGAGACAGGGGGAGAAUAGAGUGUGUCGUCUCCGCAAAUCCCUUUAUGGGUUGAAGCAAGCAUCCAGACAAUGGUAUGCAAAAUUUGCAAAUGCUCUUACGAAAGCUGGGUUCCAACAAUCAAAGCAUGACUAUGCAUUGUUCACAAGGAACAGAGGUAUGUCAUCUAUCUUUUUGAUGAUAUAUGUCGAUGAUAUUCUUCUUAUGGGAAAUGAUAAGGCUGCCAUAGAAAGAUUCAAGGAAUAUUUGCAUGCUACCUUUCAUAUGAAGGACUUAGGAGCACCUAAAUAUUUCCUUGGAAUCGAAAUUGCUCGAUCCGAUUUAGGAAUCUCCCUCAGUCAACGAAAGUUCAUAUUGGAGAUUAUAUCAGAAGCAGGGCUAUCAGGAUGUAAACCAGCAGCAAUUCCCAUCGAGCAGAACACUAAAUUGACUUCUGCAGCUUACGAUGAAGGUAUAUCCAAAGAUGACGAUCCCAUACUCAAAGAUCCAUCUGGAUAUCAAAGGCUUGUUGGGAAACUUAUAUAUCUGACAAUGACGAGGCCGGACAUCUCUUAUGCAGUACAAACAUUGAGCCAGUUCAUGCAUAGCCCAAAACAGUCUCAUUUCGAUGCAGCUUUGAAGAUUGUAAAAUAUUUAAAGAAAUGUCCAGGACUUGGGAUACUUCUGUCAAAGAAAUGUGACAUGAAGAUGACGGCAUUUUGUGAUGCAGACUAUGCAACAUGUCCUAUAAGUCGAAGAUCAGUCACAGGAUAUUGCAUUAAAUUUGGGGAAUCACUUCUUUCAUGGAAGACCAAGAAGCAACCCACUGUGUCUUUAUCCUCAGCUGAGGCAGAGUAUCGAGCUAUGGCUAAGACCACAUGUCAAAUAGUGUGGAUGUGAGGUUUACUUAAGGAUCUUGGGAUAGAAGUGCAAGGACCAACCAGGCUUUAUUGUGAUAACGAUGCAGCCCUAAAACUUGCAGCAAAUCCUAUAGUACAUGAGAGAACCAAGCACAUUGAAGUCGACUGUCACUUCACUCGAGAAAAGAUACAAGAAGGCGUGAUUGAGACAAGAGGAAUUGGAACAAUGGAGCAGCCAGCAGAUAUAUUUACCAAGCCUCUAUGUCAAAGACAGCACGCAUAUCUGUUGAGCAAGCUAGGUGUCUUAGACAUAUACAGAUCACCAGCUUGAGGGGGAGUGUUGGAAGAUAUGCAGAAUCACGGAUUGCACAAUCAAGGAUCCGGAUUGAUUAUUGAUUUGAUUUGAAGAUUAGAAUUAUGUACAUAAUCAAUUAAGAUUAGAUCUAGCUAUAGAUUGAUUUGUAGAAUCAUUUAUUCCCUUUAUUUUUCAUACAGCUUGUAUUAUAUUUACAACAAGAAUUGUACAGAUUCAUCAUUGAAGUGAAUAGAAAGAAAACUGUUCCUUCUUCUUUCACAAAGGCCCAUUUAUGUUCGCUACUCUAUGACGCUGCAUGUUCAAAGCAAGCGCAAGCAUCAGAACGCUGAACAAACGCUCUGUUUGUCCAGCAAAGGCCGAGUAGAAACUUCUACACCAAACCACUCACUUCCUUGCACUAUCUCAUUCCAAAACACAUCACCAAAACUCCCAUGGGCAUAUCAUUUCACCAAUUUCCCAGCAAAGCAGCCGACGCGUAAACCCUAGAAAACUCAAUCGCAACAGGAAACACCAUUUCCGUGACACUGCAUGAUCAAAGCGACCGCGUGACCGAGCAUCAGAGUGCUGGACAACGCUCUGUUUGUCUAGCAAAGGCCGAGUAGAAACUUCUACUCCAAACCACAUAUCGUCUCCCUGAGUUACUGGCAAAGCAACCGACGCGUGAAUCCUUGAGACCUCAAUCGCAACCAGAAAGGCCAUUUUCCGUUCGCUAAAUCCGUGACGCUGCAUGUUCAAAGCAAGCGCGCGAUCAAGCAUCAAGAUGCCGAACAAACACUCUGUUUGUCUACUACACCGAACCGAUUGCUUCGUUGCACGAUCUCAUUAAAAAAAAAAAAAAGGAAGAAGAAGAACGUAAUCGUCUCUCGAAACGAUGAACUCGCGAGGAAGAUGACGACGGAGUCGACCCGUCGAAGAGAUGAUAAAAGGAAAGGAAAAGGCGCGAGAGCGACGUGAGAGCUGACCUUCGACGGCUCCUUCACGUAGAGAUAGGCGGCGAAGGAAGCCAGCAGGAUCAGCACCGGCAGGAUCCGCCAUUGCAGAUGCUUCAUUCCUCCCUCCCUCUCUCUCUAGAAUCUCGAUGACGCAGAAAGGAGAGAGAGCGCUUCGCAGAAAUUUG
rnacentral:lncRNA from 1 species